rnacentral:rRNA from 1 species
GACGGGGGAUGCAAGUGUUAUCCGGAAUUACUGGGCGUAAAGCGCACGUAGGCGGAUUUGUUAGUCAGGGUUGAAAUCCCGAGGCUCAACCUCGGAACUGCCUUUGAUACUGCAAAUCUCGAGUCCGGAAGAGGUGAGUGGAAUUCCUAGUGUAGAGGUGAAAUUCGUGGAUAUUAGGAAGAACACCAGUGGCGAAGGCGGCUCACUGGUCCGGUACUGACGCUGAGGUGCGAAAGCGUGGGGAGCAAACAGG